CUGGCCUGCUGGGACCUGUGGAUUCUUUGUAGACUUCACACUCUUUGAAGGAUGACUGAAGGCAGUGUUUGAAGUUGCUGUCUGAGUCAUGACAAAUGUUUUAGUCUCCCAAGGAGACCCUGAUAUGGGCAAAGUCCUGUUGGGAAAGCCUGGAUGGUGCUGCCAUGGCCAGGCAUGGAUCUGGGUAUUGGGUUUUUGA
rnacentral:lncRNA from 1 species